rnacentral:rRNA from 1 species
CCUACGGGGGGCAGCAGUGGGGGAUAUUGCACAAUGGGGGAAACCCUGAUGCAGCGACGCCGCGUGGGCGAAGAAGUAUUUCGGUAUGUAAAGCCCUAUCAGCAGGGAAGAAGAAAUGACGGUACCUGAGGAAGAAGCACCGGCUAAAUCCGUGCCAGCAGCCGCGGUAAUACGUAUGGUGCAAGCGUUAUCCGGCUUUACUGGGGGUAAAGGGAGCGCAGGCGGCACGGCAAGCCUGAUGUGAAAGCCCGCGGCCCAACCGCGGGACUGCAUUGGGAACUACCGGGCUGGAGUGCCGGAGAGGUAGGCGGAAUUCCUAGUGUAGCGGUGAAAUGCGUAGAUAUUAGGAGGAACACCAGUGGCGAAGGCGGCCUACUGGACGGUGACUGACGCUGAGGCUCGAAAGCGUGGGGAGCAAACAGGAUUAGAUACCCGGGUAGUC